UACGGGGGGGGCAAGCGUUGUUCGGAUUCACUGGGCGGAAAUGGUGCGUAGGCGGUCGGGUAAGUCUGAUGUGAAAUCUCACAGCUUAACUGUGAAACUGCAUUGGAUACUAUUCGGCUUGAGAGUUGGAGGGGGGACUGGAAUUCUUGGUGUAGCAGUGAAAUGCGUAGAUAUCGUCAGGAACGCCGAUGGUGAAGACAGGUGACUGGGCUAGUUCUGACACUGAGGCACGAAAGCGUGGGGAGCGAACGGG
rnacentral:rRNA from 1 species